rnacentral:lncRNA from 1 species
CAUGCCCCGACACGAAUUUCCAACAGCUUUUUACUUAAAAAAUAAAAUAUCAAAAUAUCUUUCAUUAUGUUUUUUUUUUAAGAUUUUAUAUUUCAGAAAGAGGAUAAAAGUGUUUUUCUUUGGAAAGGAAGAAUUCAGUUUAAAAUAUAAGCAAAAUAAAAACAUGUCAUUCAUUGCUUUUUCUUAUACUUUUUCUAUUUUGAAAUCUUAGAAAUGAGAGAAGAAAAGGCUAAAAUGAAAUCUUACUUAUGUGGUUAUGCACACAGUCUAUUAUUGUGGAAGUUUCUAAUCUUUUUUGACGAGAG